rnacentral:rRNA from 1 species
UACGUAGGUGGCGAGCGUUGUUCGGAUUCAUUGGGCGUAAAGGGUGCGCAGGUGGUCUGAUAAGUCUGACGUGAAAUACCGGAGCUCAACUCCGGAACUGCGUUGGAGACUGUUGGACUUGAGUAUCGGAGAGGAAAUUGGAAUUCCAAGUGUAGCGGUGGAAUGCGUAGAUAUCUGGAAGAACAUCGAUAGCGAAGGCAGAUUUCUGGACGAUAACUGACACUCAGGGACGAAAGCAUGGGGAGCAAACAGGAUUAGAUACCCUGGUAGUCCAUGCCCUAAACGUUGUAAACUUGAUAUGGGGAGAUUUACUCCUUUCCGUGUCGAAGCUAACGCGAUAAGUUUACCGCCUGGGAAGUACGGCCGCAAGGCUAAAACUCAAAGGAAUUGACGGGGGCCCGCACAAGCGGUGGAGCAUGUGGCUUAAUUCGAGGCAACGCGAAGAACCUUACCCGGAUUUGACAUAUAUAGGAAUGUGAUGGAAACAUUACAGCUCGCAAGAGUCGAUAUACAGGUGCUGCAUGGUUGUCGUCAGCUCGUGCCGUGAGGUGUUCGGUUAAGUCCGGCAACGAGCGCAACCCAUGUCAUCAGUUGCUACCAGGUAAAGCUGGGCACUCCGAUGAGACUGCCCGUGUUAAGCGGGAGGAAGGCGGGGAUGACGUCAAGUCCGUAUGGCCUUUAUAUCCG